GGGGGCGUCGUUCAGUGGUAGGACUCUGGUCUCCAAAACCAGUAACGUGGGUUCGAUUCCUACCGCCCCCGCCA
rnacentral:tRNA from 1 species